UUUCGCAUUAUGUGAAUUGUUUUUAUAAGAUUAAUCACUUUUGAAAUCCUUUUCUCAAACAACAUUUUAGCUGGAACGUUACCUAAAUUUGUGACAAUUUUUUAGCAAUAAAUGUACAAAAUAUAAGUGUGUAUGUGUGUGUGUGUGUGUGUGUGUGUGUGUGUGUGUGUGUGUGUGUGUGUGUGUAUGUGUGUGUGUGUGUCAAUAUGCGUCAAACGACAAACAAAAAGCGAAAACGAUCCAAAAGAAGAGCUCUAAUUUAAUGUUAAUGAGUGUAACAAAAACGAUUCAUGAAAGCUUGGUAAACGGCAAACUAACCUCAAAUCAACUUGGACCACCGAGAGGGUAACCCUAAAUGCUUGAAUGCAGAAUCAAUACAGCUGCUACAAUGCACCUGCUGCAGAUAAUCCUCGCAGCCGACAAUCGACCUCAUUUCUUAUUUUAUGCGUAUAUUCCAAAGUUUUACCUAACACUUAUGAUUAUGCAAAGUCCUAACCAUUAGUCACUAGGAUGGUACUUUGAAAAACAAGUUUUCAUGACUUAAAACUAUUCAUACUCGAUUACUGUCGAAGACGCGAUUGGUUUCACGUACCUUUUUCUAUCCUCUCUUCCGGCAUGUUUUUUUCUCUCAAAUCUUAUCCUAAACGAUUCCUAGUAUGAUUUCUUUUUUUUUUAUCUUUGGAAGGUAAUUAAAAUAUGUGACGUAGCUUUGAUUAGCUGAGGCAAAAUUAACAAACAAAACGGAAAAGCAACAUGUAGGGGAAAUGGAUGCAUUAUAAUCGAUUGAAAAGGCAUCCUUGUAUGUAUGCGUGUGUUUGUGUUACUGUUCAUUCGAACAUAAAUAUAUAUUUAUAUUUACCCCCGGAGGGAUAAAUUAUUUAAACUAUCUUAAAAAGGAAGGACGAUGAAAAAUGGAGUGUGUUUUAAACGCUGUUGCUAUACUUUCAACUGCCAUCUAUUGUUUCUAAAACAAGCAAAUUUCUGAUUGUUCGGUACGUUUUCGGGUUUGAUUUCAAUUCUGCGUUGCCAGUACUAAGCCCAAAGCGUGAUAUUUGAUCGAAGAGUAUUUUUGCCGGUUGAACAGCGGUGGAACCUGUGGAGCAAGCACAUUUUCCACAAGUCCGAGAAAAUGUAAUACAUUCCCAAAAAAAAAAAAAAAAACUUUGCUUACAUCUGUACAUUUAUGAAAACUAACAUCCGGGACCGGGAAUGUUUUGUAAAAGUGAAAGAUAACAAUGGUAGUUCUGUUGAUUAGUCUAGGACACUCUUACCAAGUCUUUUCUCCGUUUGCUACUCUUUAUUUUCUCUCCUAUUUUCUUUCGUUCUUCCGUUAUUGUUAAUUCUCUAUCUAAAGAGAUUACCUCGAAUAAGCUUUAGCCGUGAUCCAUGCCCACGGGGGG